rnacentral:rRNA from 1 species
AUUGAACGCUGGCGGCAGGCCUAACACAUGCAAGUCGAACGGAGCGGCGGACGGGUGAGUAAUGCCUAGGAAUCUGCCUGGUAGUGGGGGAUAACGUCCGGAAACGGGCGCUAAUACCGCAUACUAUCAGAUGAGCCUAGGUCGGAUUAGCUAGUUGGUGGGGUAAAGGACUACCAAGGCGACGAUCCGUAUCUGGUCUGAGAGGAUGAUCAGUCACACUGGGACUGAGACACGGCCCAGACUCCUACGGGAGGCAGCAGUAGGGAAUAUUGGACAAUGGGCGAAAGCCUGAUCCAGCCAUGCCGCGUGUGUGAAGAAGGUCUUCGGAUUGUAAAGCACUGUUGGUUGGGAAGCGUUACCUACAGAAUAAGCACCGGCUAACUUCGUGCCAGCAGCCGCGGUAAUAC